CGCCCACCCCGCCCUCAGGAAUGCUGCAUGGCCUCCCCAGAGCGGCGGUGGGAGCCUCAGCCGGGGAGAGCCCGCUCGGGGGCAGGAAGUGGCCCGGCCCUCCUCGUGGAGGGUGUUUCCGGAGCGCCUACUGUGCUCCUCGCCGGAGUGGGGGUCGUUACCGAGGGGGAACUUCUGUAAAUCGUAACUUUUGUCAUUUCGCGCCCCCCACAAGAUGUCCUGCCGGCGGUGCGAUUGCUCCCGUUGCUUCGAGGGGAAACUGAGGCCAGUUAGUCCGGGCACUUACCCUCAGCUGAACUGUUCAUUCGGGAAGAUUGCAAACAGCUAAAUACCCCUCACCAGGAGCUGGCCCAUUAUAGCAACUCUGAGACCUCUCUACUGCAGGCUCUGAAAAUGGGAAGGAGGCCUCGGGGAAGAGGCUGGCUACCACGAGGUCACAGAACUGGCUCCAGACCCCAGGACUCCUGGCAGCAGGGCCCCAGGACAAGGGACCACUUUGCUACCUCCUCUGUUACAGCGUGAUUGAGGCUGUGGGCAUGCCUCUCCCAGGACCCCCUUUUCUGGACAUGCAGGGCAGGACACAUGCUUCAGGGGCAGCCUCAACUAUAUGGAGCAAGCGGCAUGCUAGACAAGUGCCAAGCAUGGACCCCACGCAGUGAUGGACGUGAGCCCCCAGCUCAAAGACGACACACGGAGAAGGGAGCCAAGCAGCACUGACCGAUGUGGGCAGCGUUAUUGCCGACCAGGAAUUUGUCCCUGGACUUCCCCUCCGCACUGCUCCAUGCUCACCUUCCUCUUCUCGGGGGUCUCCACCAGCUGCCAGCUGUUGGCCUUGAGGUGGUAGAGUUCAUCGAACUUCAUGCUGAUGUCCUCGAUGGACAGCUGUAGCAGGUCCCAGAACCCUGCCAGGUCCUGGGCUGUGGGGCGUGGGUUGGCAUCAGGGUUCUGUGGGCCAGAUGGGGAUCAGUGGGGCGGGCUCAGCAGAGGCUUGUCCUGCUCCCCCGACCCCCCGUCUCCGCCGUCUCUGCUUCCCCCGCCCCGUGCCCUGCUGAAGCAUGUUUCCUCUGGCCCCACCAGCACCCGAGGGGGCCCUUGAGGCCUAGUGUCCAGGUCAGUAUCUGUAUGAAUGAAUCUAAGCCAGUUCUGGUCAGCACCAGCCUUAGUGGUGGAGAUCCUUGGGGACAGCCUAUAGGGCUGUGGUGAGGAAAGCACUCCUGUCCCUAAUGUAUGCCAAGCAGACAGUUGUUUUGCAAGGAAGAAAUACAAGUUUUUGGCCAUGGUGUGAGUGACA